UAGGCUCACUUAUUUGUAGUCUGUGAUAUUUUUUAUCACAAUUUGGGCUUCAAGGGUUUAGAAGCCCAAAGGCCAUAGGACCUGCCAACGCAGUAACACAAAGACCGUGGGUCAAUUUGACUCGUUUGGUAGGUUAAAGUAAAAACAGGGUCCUAAGGGGUAAUUUAGGAAUUCUAUGUUAGGAAAUCUUCAAUAACUGAAUAGGGAAGCUUCCUAGAAGUUGGGAUUGGGACUCAUUCAGAAUAUUUUUAAAACUAAGGGUACCUGAUAAAAACGUUUAAUGUGUAAAAACCUAAUUUAGUUUGCUGCCUUAAAAGCUUGCCUAUAAAGGCAUUCUUCCUUCAUGCUCAAGCCAGAGACUUUUAGAGACUAAAAUUUUGGAAAAAGUGAAAACGGCUAGACCUGAAAAGCUUUGAUAAAAAAUAAAUGAAGAUUGAAAUCCCUACAAUUUUGGAAAGCUACUCAAAAUUCUACUUGGUUUUGGUGUUCUUGGUUAGCUAGGAUUUCUGAAAGUUUCAAAGAUCCUGUACCUAAUUUAAAAAUGGCUUGCAUUUUGGAUUAAAGUCUGGUUUUGAGCUGUUGUUAAAAUAAUGUUCCAUUUUUGGUUUCUGAGCUGAUUUUUGCUGUUGUUUUCUAUUGAUUCUUCACUUCUUUUGCUUCCUUCUUAAUUCCCAGGUAUUACACUCGACCAUGAGAUGCAAAGUUGAAGUGUUGUUGGUUUUGGAUGGUUGAAAUAUAAAUUAGUGCUUUUUAGUUCAUCGUGUGUUUUUUCUAUCAGUCUCCUUCCUCAUUUGUUUAAGGAUUUCUUUAUGUCAUUAUAAAGAAUGUGUAAUGAGUUGUAUUAAGAUUUUAGGUUAUGUCAUUUUGAUUUCCUUUGGGUUUAAACAUUUAUGUCAUAUUUUGAGGCGGAUUACUAUAAGGUAGUUUUAGUUGAGAUGGAAACUCCCCUUUGUUAGGCUUUUUAGUUAUUCUGGUUCAAGUUGUUAAGAGAUUACAAGGCCACAACUAAUUAAUCUGUGGUUGUCAUCUCUUUCAGAUGUAUUUUUUAGGAAUUCCAAAAAAAAUAAGUACAUGUUGUUACAAUGUUAAUAUCUGAUUUAGAUUUGCUGAAUGUGUU
rnacentral:lncRNA from 1 species